GAAGCUUAUCUAGAUGAGGAAGCAGGCUCAGCAGGAAGUAAUCGUGCUGUUCUAUCAUGCUACCGACUUGGUGUCAAGACACUGCUCAGCAGUCAACCAUGGAGUUGGACAACUUAGGCUCCGAAGUUGUGACCCUCUCCGGAGGGCCUGGUGCUGGGAGGGUUUCUCUUCAACUUGCAGCUGCUUUCCCAGUCCCGUCUCCAAUCCUGGCGUCAUCAGCGGUGAGGCUGCCCUGUUUCCACCGCAGUCUCCCACAGUCACACCCGUGGGAGCUGAGUACCAUCCUUGGACCAAAAGCUGCAAACCCACAAUUCCUAGCCAUUCCAGCUACAGGUUUUCAAAACCCCUUACAGACGCAUGUUUUAAUGUACUUUUUAAUGGCUUGCAAUAUCUUUCUAUAGAUUUGUAACCCAAUAUUUGACAGUUGCCAUCGGUAACUAUUUUACUCUGUCCUUAACUCUAUUCUUUUUCGAGCUACCGUUUAUCAUGGCUAAUACAUGUCGAAAUAUGCACUAAAAAGUUACAUGAGAUAAGCUUACCUAGUAUAACAAUCCUUUUAGAUUUACGUUAAAACCAAGAUCAAACAGGUCAACUAACUCAUCCAAGGUCACUUAACUACUAAGUUUAGGAUUAGGAAUUAAACCCAGAUUUCUAAGACUCUAGCAUUAUUUGGGGAUCCAUUGUUUAUAAUUAAAUAAUGAUGAUUGUUUAAUGCCCUCUUACUGUGUAUCUGGUACGAUAUCAAGAUUCACUAAUUAAUACAUUCAUUCCUCACCAUAAGCCUAUGAAACUGGUAUUACUGCCAGCCCAUUUUACAGAUGAGAAAAUUCAGCCACGGUUUAGGUUGUCUGAAGUGACACUGGUAUCACAUCAACAGUAAUAUGAACAGUUCUGAUUUAAAUGUAGGUCAACUUGCUCUAGACUCAGGAACAAAUUAAACUUUCUAGAAUUGAAACAAGAUAAAGUGUACAUACCUAUAAAGAUAAUUGGCUAUAACUUCCUAAACUGUGAACUGUCAUAAAAAUGACAUCUUGGGGGAAAAAACUGUAACUGCAAUGUAUACAUCUAAGGAUGACCUGACCCCCUUGCUGUACAGUGGGAAAAUAAUAAUAAAAAAAAAAAAAAAAAGAAAUAAAUCACAGCGACCCCCCCCCAAAAAAAAAAAAAAUGACAUCUGCCCUGCCUCAUUCAGCAGCUGGAAUUAAAACAGAGAGUCUUAUAAAAUAAUAGAAUGUCUAGACUUAUUCAUAUACUGACAUUAAUGUCAAUUAAUAGGAUUUUCAAAACAAUAAUUCUUUCAUUCAAAUAAAUAGACCUAAAAACAUUCGCUAAACAAAGACUUGGGUUUAAAAAUCUGUAACAGGUGAAACUUAAAAAAAAAAAACCUUUUAAGUCCAAAUGAUAUAUAUUUAUAAAACUGAACACUUUUUUCUUAAGUAUAUACCAAAACAAAUGAGUUAUUUAAAUACUGCUUCUGUGCAUAGUUUUUCCAAACACAAG
rnacentral:lncRNA from 9 species